GUGCCGAGACUCCGGCCAGGGACCCGACUUGCACAAGGCCAACGCCCUGCGUCUGGCUCCAAAACCGGCAUCCUCGACCACCGCCUGGCACUCGGGGGCCUCCUCAUGGUCAGGACUUGGCGCUGCUGCUGGUGUUCCCUGAACGCCUAACAUACCAGGAGCGUGCUGUCCUCCCAGCUCUGCGGGGCUCUUACGACUGAGAAAGCUAUAGAAGGUGAAAGAAACGCUCAUGGUCUCACGGGAGGAGAGAGUGAAAAAGUCCUAAUUGCUGGGCUUCUUUGCCUGAAUGAAGGGGUCUGCAGGAGCCACAGAUAUUUGCACUACCAAGUUCUCAUGCUUCUGAUUUUCCUCCAGGUAACAAUAAUUGACUAUGUCUCAAGCAAAGACAGGAAAGAUAAGAGAAGUGUCAGAAAAUUCAGGAAUCGGAAGAUCAAUGAGGACACCGCAGCAAGGAUUUUUCUCUGCAGCACAGAUGUGUUCAGACACAGUGCGGACCGGGUGGAGACCGAUCCACGAGGCUCACCGUGGCCAAGGGGGUCUCAUUCUGUCGCCCAAGCUAUGGAACAGUGGCAAGUUUUCGACUCACUGCAGCUUCCACUUCCCAGGCUCCGGUGAUCCUCUCACCUCAGCUUCCUUGGUAGCUGGGACCACAGGCGUGACCACCCUGCCAAGCUAAUUAGUUUUUUGUAUUUUUUGUAGAGACAGUGUUUUACCACGUUGCCCAGGCUGGUCUGCUCAAUCUUGUAGAAGCCAUGAAGAGCGUCUUUUCAAUAUGGUGGACUAGGCUAGUCCCCAAACACAUACAAAUUUUGUAUGAAAUAUGGGGGAAGGGAAAGGUUUUAAAUGCAUACCCAAGAGUAAACACAAGAGAAUUCUCCCUGUGUCAACACAAAAGAAAUCAGAGCAAAAAUGGCAAGCAGUUGCUGAAGAGGUGGGCAUGUGACCAAGGUCUGUCCACCAAGGUGCCCC